AGUGAACGCUGGCGGUAGGCCUAACACGUGCAAGUCGAACGGCAGCACAGUAAGAGCUUGCUCUUACGGGUGGCGAGUGGCGGACGGGUGAGGAAUACAUCGGAAUCUACUUUUUCGUGGGGGAUAACGUAGGGAAACUUACGCUAAUACCGCAUACGACCUACGGGUGAAAGCAGGGGAUCUUCGGACCUUGCGCGAUUGAAUGAGCCGAUGUCGGAUUAGCUAGUUGGCGGGGUAAAGGCCCACCAAGGCGACGAUCCGUAGCUGGUCUGAGAGGAUGAUCAGCCACACUGGAACUGAGACACGGUCCAGACUCCUACGGGAGGCAGCAGUGGGGAAUAUUGGACAAUGGGCGCAAGCCUGAUCCAGCCAUACCGCGUGGGUGAAGAAGGCCUUCGGGUUGUAAAGCCCUUUUGUUGGGAAAGAAAAGCAGCAGGUUAAUACCCCGCUGUUCUGACGGUACCCAAAGAAAAAGCACCGGCUAACUUCGUG
rnacentral:rRNA from 1 species